GUUCUGACCACACACCAUUGGGAGGUGAUUUUACAUUUUGUGCUGCUCUCUCAUAACUUUCUUACUUGGUUAGAAACGGAAAUGUUCCAAGCAGGGGGGUUGUCAGAUUGGCCUUCCAUACAAAAUAUGGUUAACUCUUUCACUGCUAGUAGGACCCACACUGCGCAUCAGAGUGCUGGCUUGUUCGGAAUCUGUCCAGCUCAAAAAUGGCUCCAGUGGUUAGAAACCGGUGUUGGCAUGGCAGAAUGGUUUUAUGGAACUGCAAGCAUAUGACAGCUUAAUUUUCUUCCACAUGGUUGUGAGGCUAGUUUGCAGAAUCUGCAGGUGAUGCUAAAGUUACCAGAUCUACAGCACCAGUUGACAUACAGCCAACACUUAGUGUCUAGUUUAUUGUCAAAAGAAAUGUUUCUGCGCCUUCUUUGUUAAAACAGGUUUUCCAGCUGGAGUACGUGUGUGUUUUGUGUAACUGCUGCUCUCAUAACUCUGUAUCCGUGGAAAGGCAUUGUCCUUGGCGUUCCUGUUUGAACUAUAAACCUGAUAUUUAUUAGCAUUUUAUUAAAGUGUUUCUGACAUCUGUUCUAUUAAUAAAGUUGUGACUGAUCUGAUCUCA